rnacentral:rRNA from 1 species
CAUUAAGUUGGGCACUCUAGGUUGACUGCCGGUGACAAACCGGAGGAAGGUGGGGAUGACGUCAAAUCAUCAUGCCCCUUAUGAUUUGGGCUACACACGUGCUACAAUGGACAAUACAAAGGGCAGCUAAACCGCGAGGUCAUGCAAAUCCCAUAAAGUUGUUCUCAGUUCGGAUUGUAGUCUGCAACUCGACUACAUGAAGCUGGAAUCGCUAGUAAUCGG